AGGAAACUCCCCACACAGACUAAAAUGAGUUAUAAUGUACCAAGUUUAUCAGAAUCAACAAAAAAACCUAAAACCAGACCAGGAAGAAGCUGAGAGUAUGCAAAGCAAUCUUAAUUAAACAAAGGGCACCUCCACAAAAACCUCAAAGGAAAGGAGCGGCAAAAGAGAUAACUCAUAUUAAUCAAUAAACACGCCACUUUCCCACUAAACCAAAAAAUAAAAG
rnacentral:misc_RNA from 1 species